rnacentral:rRNA from 1 species
AUGGCUGGUCUCCCAUGGUUGUUGGCAGGAGACUUCAAUGAGAUUUUGUAUGGCCAUGAAAAAGAAGGUGGUAACCAACGUCCCCAUAGGUGCACGUAACUCUUUUGAGAUGUCUUAACAGAAUGUGAUUUAGAGGACCUGGGAUUUUCCGAUGAUAUGUUUACAUGGAGACGUGGCAGAAUCCGUGAAAGACUAGAUCGGGCCAUUAGAAACCAGAGUUGGACUGAUUUGUUCCCACACUUUGGAGUGUUUAAUGAAGAGUUUGGUAAGUCAGAUCACCGCCAUGUACUGGUCGAUACUGAAUUUCAGGUGGGAGCUGUACACAAAAGUUCCAGAGAUGUAAAACAUGUUGAGGGCCGAUGGUUAUGUGAGGAAUCAGUUGAGACUAUUAUCCAAACAGCAUGGGACUGUUCCCAACUCCUUGCUUCUUCCCUGACAAAACUGCCGAUGUACAUGCGGCUUUACAUAGCUGGGACAAAGAAACACUCAAGGGACCAAGACAUAGGCUGA